rnacentral:rRNA from 1 species
AUCUGGUUGAUCCUGCCAGUAGUCAUACGCUCGUCUCAAAGAUUAAGCCAUGCAUGUGUAAGUAUAAAUAAUUCUACUUUGAAACUGCGAAUGGCUCAUUAUAUCAGUUAUAGUUUAUUAGAAAUAAUUUACUACUUGGAUAACCGUAGUAAUUCUAGGGCUAAUACAUGAGUAAAUCCUCGACUUUGAAGAGGUGUGUUUAUUAGUAUGAAAACCAUAUGCUUUUGCAUAAUAGUGAGUAAUAAUAACCUUUCAUAUCGUAUGUUGUAAUAACGAUAGUUCUUUCAAGUUUCUGCCCUAUCAGCUUUCGAUGGUAGUGCAUUGGACUACCAUGGCAGUAACGGGUAACGAAGAAUUUGGGUUCGAUUUCGGAGAGGGAGCCUGAGAGAUGGCUACCACAUCCAAGGAAGGCAGCAGGCGCGUAAAUUACCCAAUCCUGACAUAGGGAGGUAGUGACAAUAAAUCACAAUGCGGGACUUUUAGUUUUGCAAUUGGAUUGAGAACAAUGUAAAAGAGUUAUCGAUAAACAAUUGGAGGGCAAGUCUGGUGCCAGCAGCCGCGGUAAUUCCAGCUCCAAUAGCGUAUAUUAACGUUGUUGCAGUUAAAAAGCUC